AGUUACAUAUACCACAAAAAACCCUUAAUCCUUCUUCUAAGUACUCACUAUGUUCUCCCUCAUCUCAUCUCAUAACCGUAAAUACCCUUUUCAAUCCGAAAAUUCUUCUUCUUUUUCUCGAUUAUGAAUGAAUUCCCUAAAACCCUCAAAUCAAAAUCUCAAAAACGUAUUCUUUCGAUUCUGAAUGUUCGCCGAUUUGAAUCUCUCUAGGGAUGAAGGCCAACAACAUGUUAUACAGUGGUGGAUGCGAUUUUGGAGAUGAAGGAGGUGGAACAGGGUCGUGAUGUGGUCACACGUUGAUGGCUGUACCGGCGGUGGGAGAGGAAGGAACGACGGGAUACAUUGGGUCGAUGCUGAUUUUGUUUGGUAGUGCGACUGCGCUUUGAAGGAUUGUGGACAAGAGUACUAAAGGAGCUGCGGCGGUGGACCAUGUUGAACCUGAGAAGACUUGGCUCCAUACUGUGAUGCAUGAUUUAAGAGUUGGCUCCAUUAUGUCUGUGAGAAUCCUUUUCUUGGGUUAUAUUGGUGAUAUUAUUCUUGGGUUAUGCGUCGGGACUAGCAUUAUUGCGGAAUCCUUUUGCCCACUUAAAACUGUGUAUGUGUGUGCUUACUUUUUUUUUUCUUCCAUGUUUGUAUUGUAUGAAUGCUCAAAGUGUAUGGCUGUAUUUGGAAGUCAUUCAUGGUCAUGUCCUGAUUUGUUGUAUACCUUUCAAUUGAUAAUAUUAAUAAUAGUUGGCUGUAUUAGUUUGGAUUAGUCCGGUAUUUAUUGAAUCAGUUGAAAGGGAGCUUGUUUUAAUGCAUCAUUUUUCCUAUUUUGUUUACUUAUAUGUUUAAAAUAGGACUAUUAACAAUUGUGACGUGUGAGAUAUAAAACCAUUCAUGAGCUUUCACCUAUAAAAUUGUUCAGCUCUAUAUGCGACACUUUCCAAUGUACUACGGACUGUGGACAUUGUGGACUGAUGAUGACAUUGGACACUUGUAAAUGUUUAGAGAGUUGGAGAGAAAAAUGUGUACAGCUGGUGCAAAACUUAAAUCUCCGGGGGUUCAAACCAGAUAAAAAGUAGAUUUUUUAGUAUAAUUUUAAAGAGUUAAGGGGGUGCAUGUGAACCCCCGGUACAAGUGUGGCGCCACCACUGUGUGUUAUAAAUACAUGUGUGUGCCCUGCUAAACUGUAAAGUUAAAUUGCCCAUGGGUUAGUUUGAGGCCUUCAAUUGUGAGGCCAAUCUAAGAUCAUGAUUUAAUAAGUAUAUUUCUUUUAAUAUGAUGCAGUCCAUGAUAGUGCUAGUGAGAUGACUUUAAUUAGCUAUAUGUUGUAUAGUACGUACUAUACAUAUGAUUAUAACCAUUCAAAAAUCAAAUCAAUGCCAUCAUAAGAAAAUAAUCAUUCAAUAUAACAUACAACCUACACAGGUUACCAUAAAUUCAAACAAAGUAAUAGGGCAAAUAGGAACUUACUUUCAACGAAUUGAAACCAAACUAUCAACAUGAUCCUUGCUAAAGGCCCAUAAUGCUUUGGUGAUAAGUAUCUCUACACUAUUAUCAUUCAGAUUAUAGAUAAUAGCUUGGUGUUGUUGCUUGUUUGCCAAUAUCAAUUUAAUAUUAUUCUGAGAAAUGUGCAAUGGCAACCAUGAGAAUUUGGGUAGAAGAUACUGAUCAUAACUAAUUUUAAGGAGUUGAAAAGUUUGGCUUAUAGUUCUAAUUCAUAUUCUUUGCUUUGUUAUAGACGGAACUGAAUGGCACUCCCCCCACUCCUGUAGAUUUGUUUGUUCACACACACCAACAUCGCAAGAAUAAGGCUUGGGUUGAUCGAAGAUCGGAACAUGUCUAUGAAAAGUAUAAACGUAGAUUGGAAGAAUUAACCCAACAAGCAUCUUUGCAAGGAACUCCGCCACCAAAGGAAAUAGAUGUGUGGACUGAGGUUGCAUGAACAAGGAAAGGACACAUAUAUGGUCUUGGGAGUGAAUCUUCUUUAUUUGCAGGCAGGCGAAAUUACCGUGGUUCAGGUUCCGCGUUAACUGAAUGGGUGCAAAGACAUGAAAUUGAAGAACUGAAAAUUGAAAGGGAAGAAAUGAGAAGGGAAAAUGAUGAACUUCGUGAUAUGGUAAAACAAUUGAUGGAAAGCUUAAACUUUCGGCCGAAGCCAUAUACUAGAGAUGAAGUUCAUGAAGAUAUUGUGGCUGAUAGUAAUGAUGAUGUGGCUGAUGAUAAUGAUGAUGUGGCUGAUAUUGUUUUCUUAGUUAGGAUAUUGACUUUUUUUUAUGCAAGAAUUGAAUGGGAUUUAUUCCCCUUUUUGUAUGUGAAGAUCAAUUCACUUAUAUACUUGCAAGUGUAGGUAGUAGUGAUAACUUGGUCUUGGUUAGGUUAUGCUUUGGAUUUAUUACUUAUUUUUGGAUAAGUAGUUGGUAAUACUUAAAUAUAAAUAUAUUGUGUUCA